rnacentral:rRNA from 1 species
CCCUUAGAUGUUCUGGGCCGCACGCGCGCUACACUGAUGCAUUCAACGAGUUUCUUCCUGGUCCGAGAGGAAUGGGUAACCUUUUGAAAGUGCAUCGUGAUAGGGAUAGACUAUUGCAAUUAUUGGUCUUUAACGAGGAAUUCCUAGUAAGUGUAGGUUUAUAAGUUGUUCUGAUUACGUCCCUGCCCUUUGUACACACCGCCCGUCGCUCCUACCGAUUGAUUGAUCCGGUGAAUUACAUAGAAUUUUGCGUUUUACAUGACGGAAGACGAAGUGUUUUAAACCUUAUCAUUUAGAGGAAGGAGAAGUCGUAACA